rnacentral:rRNA from 1 species
AUGGAACCCUAUGUUGGCAUGAGGUUUGACAACCUUCAAAUUGCUAAGGAUCACUACAACAGCUACGCACUACGGAUGGGUUUCUCUAUCAAGAUGAACACCUCUAGACGGACAGCCCGCACCAAUGAAUUGAUAAAACAACAGUUUUGCUGCAACAAGUUCAAGAAGCCCAAAGCUGAUGAUGGAGGAGCUGAGGCUCCUCCUGUCCUGGACCUUAUUCUAGAUCCAAAAUCUGUUAACAGCGAUGAGGCGAUGGAAGAAGAACCUCCAAUAUUUGCUGAAGAGGAGGCUGGUACUAGUAAGAAGAAGAAGAAGCGCAAACGCGAGACAAUAAAGCAGACUGAAUGCAAGGCGAAAAUGUUGGUGAAGCUGAUAGAUGGGCGAUGGGAGGUGACGCACUUUGUUCGUGACCACAAUCAUCCGCUUGUGAACAAACCAUCAUUGUCCAAAUACUUGAGAUCCCACCAAGGUAUCUCACCUGAUGAAAAGGAGUUUCUGCGCAUCUUGUAUAACUGCAACUUGACUACAGGACGAAUAAUGCAUGUAAUGGCAGAGUUUUAUGGAUCUGAGAUGAUGGUGCCGUUCGGACCAAAGGAAAUAACAAAUCUUUGUACAAGUUUUCGUAGAGAUGACACAAAGAAGGGUGAUCUAAUUGAGACAAUUGCGCACUUCAAGGAUAUACAAAAAACCGAUCCAGACUUCUUCUAUAAGGUGAAAUAUGAUGAAGAGGACAGAGUUGUCAACAUAUUUUGGGUGGACGGCUUAGCUCGAAAAGCUUAUGCGGAGGCGUACCACGAUUGCAUAUCGUUUUACACCACCUACAUGACCAACUUGUACAAUAUGCCGUUCGCGCCCUUCAUAGGAAUAAACCGACUGUUGGGGAACGUAACAUAA